AGUAAUUCGUCGUCGUCAUUGUGGCCGUCAUAAUUGAAUAGUGUGGAUUUAGCUUCCCUAAGUUCAAUAUAUGUGAGCAUUCAUGAUAAUGGAAGCACCUCGUCAAUCUAUUCGGUUGUAGAUGAAUAUGGUUCAUUUAUAUCCUAGUUAAUCUCAUCACCCUUAGUUCAUGUUUUGGAAGCUUAUGUAUGUGUGUGUGUGUGUGUGUAUAUAUAUAUAUGGAAGUUUGUG
rnacentral:lncRNA from 1 species